rnacentral:lncRNA from 1 species
AGAGAAAAAAAAAGGGGGGGAGGGAGUCAUCUUUUCACAACUUGUGUCUUCAUCUACUGACCUUAACAUUAGCAACAGAAAAGCAGGGGCAUGCAUGCGCUCAUUCACUUGCCUGCAGGUCGGAGAAGGCAAAGGAAACGAGACUCCCAGGGACACUGCACCUCCGUACGGCUCCACGCGCAGAGAUAACGCUUUAAAGGAGAAGAGAAAAACAAGCUGACGAAACCUACCCACAACUCUACCACGUCUCUGCCUGGAGACCCGCAGCCCUGUGGUGCUGUUCAACAGCCCAGCACAGAACCAGACACCAAAAGUUUCUCAGCACAGCACAUUAUUUCCCAGCUCCGCCACUGCCUCACUGCGUGACCUUGGGCAAGCCGCUUCCCCCGCAUCUCGGCUACCCACCUGACGAGCCCGCUGCAGAGCUCCGAGGACGAAAAACCCCGUAAUUACUCACAACAGGCGACUCUGCGCCGAAGAAGCUGAAAUGGGCGGAGGGGAGGGACUCUCUCUCUCACAGGUGAGGGAGAUCUCCCCGCCGCGGGAGGGUCUGCCCCGGCUCCCGCCCCGCUUCCAUGCCGCACGGGUUAAACCGGCGCAGGAGCCGCCCCCGGCCGGCCGAGCAGACGGCUCCGGCUCGCCCGCCCCGAGCGCACGCAGCCGCCGGGGAGCCGAGCCGAGCCCCGCGGGCCUCCCGCCCCCGCAGCGGAGCCCUCCCGGCGGCCCAGCCCGGCUGCGCGCGGAGGCGGCGCCACUUACUGCACCCGCCAGGCGGAAAACUCGCAGGUGGCCCGCAGCCGCCCGCGGAGCGGCGGUGGGAGGCGACCUCCGCGCUGAGCCGCGGGGGCGGGAAGCGGGCGGCCGUCUCGGCGCUCGCAGCGAGCCGGGGCGCUGCGCUGCGCUCCCCGCCGCGGGGCCGCGCAGCUCCGGCCACCGCUGCCGCCCUCCCUGCGCGCGGCUGCCUCCCGCCCGCCCUUCCUCGCGCCGCCGCCGGCCAAUGCGGGCUGCGGCGAGGAGCCGGCUUUAACCAUCUGUUGCGAGGCGCCUCCUCCAAGCGCUGCCGCCUCCCUUGCCGAGGGGCGCCCGCCCAGACGCCCCGCCGAGGAGGGUUCUCCACAUGGGAUGUGAGGAGGCUGGUCGUGGUAUUGCGUGGAGCAUUGUGCCUCAAGCCACUUGAACGGGCAUAAAGCAGCGCUAAGAUCUUUCUCUGUGUGUUUGGACUUCAUGGACGUCUCCUGUGGUGAAGCUGUUCCAGAAGAAUCGAGAGUCUCCCUAUUAAAGUCCUAGCUUUUCACGAAAAAGGUUAUUCAUUUUUUAUGUUCUUAAUUU